GACGAACGCUGGCGGCGUGCUUAACACAUGCAAGUCGUACGGUAAGGCCCUUUCGGGGGUACACGAGUGGCGAACGGGUGAGUAACACGUGAGUAACCUGCCCACAACUUUGGGAUAACGCUAGGAAACUGGUGCUAAUACUGGAUAUGUGCUCCUGCUGCAUGGUGGGGGUUGGAAAGCUCCGGCGGUUGUGGAUGGACUCGCGGCCUAUCAGCUUGUUGGUGGGGUAGUGGCCUACCAAGGCGGCGACGGGUAGCCGGCCUGAGAGGGUGACAGGCCACAUUGGGACUGAGAUACGGCCCAGACUCCUACGGGAGGCAGCAGUGGGGAAGAUUGCACAAUGGGCGCAAGCCGGAUGCAGCAACGCCGCGUGCGGGAGGACGGACUUCGGGUUGUAAACCGCUUUCAGCAGGGACGAAGCUUUUUGUGACGGUACCUGCAGAAGAAGCACCGGCUAACUACGUG
rnacentral:rRNA from 1 species